GACGAACGCUGGCGGCGUGCCUAAUACAUGCAAGUAGAACGCUGAAGCUUGGUGCUUGCACCGAGCGGGUGAGUUGCGAACGGGUGAGUAACGCGUAGGUAACCUGCCUGGUAGCGGGGGAUAACUAUUGGAAACGAUAGCUAAUACCGCAUAAGAGUAGAUGUUGCAUGACAUUUGCUUAAAAGGUGCAAUUGCAUCACUACCAGAUGGACCUGCGUUGUAUUAGUUAGUUGGUGAGGUAACGGCUCACCAAGGCAACGAUACAUAGCCGACCUGAGAGGGUGAUCGGCCACCCUGGGACUGAGACACGGCCCAGACUCCUACGGGAGGCAGCAGUAGGGAAACUUCGGCAAUGGACGGAAGUCUGACCGAGCAACGCCGCGUGAGGGAAGAAGGUUUUCGGAUCGUAAAGCUCUGUUGUAAGAGAAGAACGAGUGUGAGAGUGGAAAGUUCACACUGUGACGGUACCUUAACAGAAAGGGACGGCUAACUACGUG
rnacentral:rRNA from 1 species